rnacentral:rRNA from 1 species
UACGGAGGGUGCGAGCGUUGUCCGGAAUCAUUGGGCGUAAAGGGCGCGUAGGUGGCCUGCUAAGCGUGCGGUGAAAGCUCGGGGCUCAACCCCGAGUCGGCCGUGCGAACUGGUGGGCUUGAGCACUGUAGAGGCAGGCGGAAUUCCGGGUGUAGCGGUGGAAUGCGUAAAGAUCCGGAAGAACACCGGUGGCGAAGGCGGCCUGCUGGGCAGUGGCUGACGCUGAGGCGCGACAGCGUGGGGAGCAAACAGG